GACAAACCGGAGGAAGGUGGGGAUGACGUCAAGUCAUCAUGGCCCUUACGGCCUGGGCUACACACGUGCUACAAUGGUACGGUACAAAGGGUUGCCAAGCCGCGAGGUGGAGCUAACUACCCAUAAAACCGAUCGUAGUCCGGAUCGCAGUCUGCAACUCGACUGCGUGAAGUCGGAAUCGCUAGUAAUCGUGAAUCAGAAUGUCACGGUGAAUACGUUCCCGGGCCUU
rnacentral:rRNA from 1 species